rfam:Gossypium raimondii chromosome 5, whole genome shotgun sequence.
AUGCAUUGGACAUUUCUAAAGUAAUUCUUUAAAUCAUUCUCAAGCUUCAUAUAGUGUUUCAUCCCCUGAUUGCUGAAAAGAUGUAAUGUCAUUUCUAGGCUU